rnacentral:rRNA from 1 species
GGUGAACGCUAGCGGCAGGCCUAAUACAUGCAAGUCGAACGAGAUUAAGAGGCUUGCUUCUUAUGAAAGUGGCGCACGGGUGCGUAACGCGUAUGCAACCUACCUUAAUCAGGGGGAUAGCCCGAAGAAAUUCGGAUUAAGACCGCAUAAAAACACAGGAUAGCAUUAUCCAAUGUUCAAAUAUUUAUAGGAUUAAGAUGGGCAUGCGUGUCAUUAGCUAGUUGGCGGGGUAACGGCCCACCAAGGCGACGAUGACUAGGGGAUCUGAGAGGAUGACCCCCCACACUGGUACUGAGACACGGACCAGACUCCUACGGGAGGCAGCAGUAAGGAAUAUUGGUCAAUGGAGGGAACUCUGAACCAGCCAUGCCGCGUGCAGGAAGACAGCCCUCUGGGUCGUAAACUGCUUUUAUUCGGGAAUAAACCUUUCUACGUGUAGGAAGCUGAAUGUACCGAAGGAAUAAGGAUCGGCUAACUCCGUG